AGCAGCCGCGGUAAUUCCAGCUCCAAUAGCGUAUAUUAAAGUUGUUGCAGUUAAAAAGCUCGUAGUUGAAUUUCGGGAUUAGUACGUUGGUCGUGCCUUCGGUACGUACUGGUGUUACUGAUUCCUACCUUCUGACGAACCAUCAUGUCAUUAAUUUGGUGUGGCGGGGAAUCAGGACUGUUACUUUGAAAAAAUUAGAGUGUUUAAAGCAGGCUCGCGCUUGAAUACAUUAGCAUGGAAUAAUGAAAUAGGACGUUGACCCUAUUUUGUUGGUUUCUAGGAUUGACGUAAUGAUUAAUAGGGAUAGUUGGGGGCAUUAGUAUUCAAUUGUCAGAGGUGAAAUUCUUGGAUUUAUUGAAGACUAACUACUGCGAAAGCAUUUGCCAAGGAUGUUUUCAUUAAUCAAGAACGAAAGUUAGGGGAUCGAAGACGAUCAGAUACCGUCGUAGUCUUAACCAUAAACUAUGCCGACUAGGGAUCGGAUGAUGUUAUUUUUAAUCACCUAGUGAA
rnacentral:rRNA from 1 species